rnacentral:rRNA from 1 species
CCUACGGGAGGCAGCAGUGGGGAAUAUUGGACAAUGGGGGGAACCCUGAUCCAGCCAUGCCGCGUGUGUGAAGAAGGCCCUCGGGUUGUAAAGCACUUUCAGUGAGGAAGAACGCCUGGUGGUUAAUAUCCAUCAGGAAAGACAUCACUCACAGAAGAAGCACCGGCUAACUCCGUGCCAGCAGCCGCGGUAAUACGGAGGGUGCGAGCGUUAAUCGGAAUUACUGGGCGUAAAGCGCGCGUAGGUGGCUUGAUAAGCCGGUUGUGAAAGCCCCGGGCUCAACCUGGGAACGGCAUCCGGAACUGUCAAGCUAGAGUGCAGGAGAGGAAGGUAGAAUUCCCGGUGUAGCGGUGAAAUGCGUAGAGAUCGGGAGGAAUACCAGUGGCGAAGGCGGCCUUCUGGACUGACACUGACACUGAGGUGCGAAAGCGUGGGUAGCAAACAGGAUUAGAUACCCGAGUAGUC